CCUACGGGAGGCAGCAGUGGGGAAUAUUGCACAAUGGGGGAAACCCUGAUGCAGCGACGCCGCGUGAGUGAAGAAGUAUCUCGGUACGUAAAGCUCUAUCAGCAGGGAAGAAAAUGACGGUACCUGACUAAGAAUCCCCGGCUAACUACGUGCCAGCAGCCGCGGUACUACGUAGGGGGCCAGCGUUAUCCGGAUUUACUGGGUGUAAAGGGAGCGUAGACGGCAGCACAAGUCUGGAGGGAACUCCCGGGGCUUAACCCCGGAAUUGCUAUGGAACCGGUUCGGCUGGAGUGCAGGAGGGGUAAGCGGAAUUCGGAGUGUAGCGGUGAAAUGCGUAGAUAUUACGAGGAACACCGGUGGCGAAGGCGGCUUACUGGACUGUAACUGACGUUGAGGCUCGAAAGCGUGGGGAGCAAACAGGAUUAGAUACCCGUGUAGUC
rnacentral:rRNA from 1 species